CUCUGCUGGGAUGGGUUCAAAGUAGAGAAAGUGGAAGAGGAAAGAGUUACCCCAGCGAGAACCGGGAACCGGGCUGCAGACUCUCCGGCCCGGGGGAGGGAUGAGUUUCACUCUGGUUGCCCAGGCUGGAGUGCAAUGGCGCGAUCUCGGCUCACCGCAACCUCUGCCUCCCGGAUUCAAGCGAUUCUCCUGCUUCAGCCUCCCGAGUAGCUGGGAUUACAGACCUGGGAAAGCUUCCUCCAGCCCUGAUGCUGGCCUGCAGUAUGGCACUUGACAGCUACUGGUAUUGUGGAUAGAAGCAAAGGCUCUGGACUCAGCAACACUUGGUUUGAAUUCCAGUUCUACCACUUACUAGCUGUGGUGCUGCUGACAACUUAAACUCCAUGAACCUCAGUUUUCUUCAUCUGUAAGGUGGGAUAACAGUACUUCUCUAAUAGGGAUAUUGUGAGGAUCAAAUAUGAUGAUCUAAAGCAGUUAGCACAAUAUCUUGCACAUAGUAAGUGCUUAAUAAGUGGCAGUUAUUAUUUCAUACAUUAUAAGGUGAUACCCCUGAACUUCCAUUGUAUCCAGAUUCAGAUUUCUGCAUGUUAAAGGACACAUCAUAUUGCAAGACGAUAGGGUGGUACUGCCUAUCAGCCAAUUGUGUAGGCUCCAGAUCCAUCAGCACAGCAAUGAUUGGGAAAGUACUUGAUUAUUCCAUGUUAUCCUCAUUUUAUAAAAUUUUGUCAGUGGAAAAUGGAAGUACCAAUAGUAGUGAUAAGAAGUAUGCAUCUGUCAAGUAAGUGAAAAUACAACCCACUGAAUGGGAGAAAAUGUUUGCAAAUCAUAUAUAAGGCAGUGGUCCACAACCUUUUUGGUACCAGGGACCGGUUUUGUGGAAGACAAUUUUUCCACGGUUGGGGGUGGGGAGGGGGUUGGGGGUGAGUGGGGAUGAUUUCAGGAUGAAACUGCUCCAUCUCAGAUCAUCAGGCAUUAGAUUCUCACAAGGAGCACCCAACCUAGAUCCCUCCCAAGUGCAGUUCCCAGUGGGGUUCACACUCCUGUGAAAAUCUAAUGCUGCCGAAGAUUUGACUGGAGGCAGAGCUCAGGUGCUAAUGCUCCCUUGCCUGCUGCUCACCUCCUGCUGUAUGGCCCCAUUCCCAACCAGUACCUCUCCAUGCAGGUGUGGGGAGGCAAUGCGGUGUGGGGAGGCAAUGCGGUGUGGGGGUGUUGGGAACUGCUAUGAUAAGGAACUUGUAUUCAGAAUAUAUGCAGAACUCUUAUUACUCAAUAAUAAAGAGACAAAUAACCCAAUUGAAAAGUGGGCUAAGGGUUUGAAUAGACAUUUCUCCAAAGAAGAUAAACAAAUGGCCAAUAAGCCCAUGCAAAGAUGCUCAACAUCCUAAUCACCAGGGAUAUCAGAAGGGAAAUGCAAAUCAAACCUGCAAUUAGGUAUUACUUCACACCUACUAGGAUGGCUGUAGCCAAUAAGACAGACAAUAACAAGUGUUGACAAGGAUGUGGAGAAAUUGAAACCUACAUAUAUUGCUGGUAGGAAUGCAAAAUGGUAAAACACUUUGCAAAACAGUGUAUCAAUUCCUCAAAAAAAAUUUUUUUUUUUUUGAGACGGAGUCUCUUGUCACUGAGGCUGGAAUGCAGUGGCAUGAUAUCAGCUCACUGCAACAUCCACCUCGUGGGUUCAAGUGAUUCUCCUGCCUCAGCCUCCCAAGUAGCUGGGAUUACAGGCACCUGCCAUCAUGCCCGGCUAAUUUUUGUAUUUUUAGUACAGACGGGGUUUCACCAUGUUGGCCAGGCUGAUCUUGAUCCUGACCUCAGGUGAUCCACCCACCUCGGCCUCCUAAAGUGUUGGGAUUACAGGCAUGAGCCACCUCACCCAGCCCAAUUCCUCAAAAUUUUAAAAUAGAGUUACUUUAUUAAUCAGCAAUUUCACUCUUAGGUAUCUGCCCAAGAGAAAUGAAACAAUUCAUCCACACAAACACUUUUACAUGAAUGUUAACAGCAGCAUUAUUCACAAUAGCCAAAAGGUGGAAACAGCUCAAAUAUCCAUCAACUGAUGAAAGGAUAAACAAAAUGUGGUAUAUUCACACAAUGAAAUAUUAAUGAUACAAAGGAAGUGCUGACACAUGCUGCAACAUAGAUGAACUUUGAAAAUAUGCUAAAUGAAAGCAGUUACAAAAGACCACAUAAUGCAUGAUUUGAUUUAUGUAAAUGUCCAGAAAGGGCAAAUCCAUAGAUACACUAUAGAAAAUAGAUUAGUCGUUGUCAGAGGCUAAAGAGAGUAGGGAGGAUUGGGAUGGGGAGUGACUUAUGGGUACAGGGUUUCUUUUAGGGGGACAAAGAUAUUUUGGAAUUAGUAGUGAUGGUUGCACAACCUAGUAAAUAUACUAAAAUAUAUGAAAUUGUACAUUUUCAAUGGGUGAAUUAUGUAGUAUACGUGAUUUAUAUCUCAACAAAAAGGAGUUUAAAAAGAAGUAUGUGUAUCAUUGACUCUUUCGAUAUAAACAUAGAAAUCAUUAGACUUAUCGAAAGGGAUGAAUCUUUAGCCUCCAUGGGAUGUUCUUAAGCCUAUUGCUGUUUUUUGAUUUGUGAAGGAAAAUAAUCAAAUUGAAGGUACAUUAGGAAGGACAGCAAACAUAUGAUCAGCGAUUGUGUCUAAAAAUGCAGGUGUAAUUGGACAUGCUGUACCACUUUUUAUUCCCAACAUAAAUUUGUUGUUUGACUUUUGUACUUUUGACAUUAGUAAUAUUUUCUGAAAUAAAUUGUGUAUGGAAGCAGGGGACUGUGUUUACUGUGUCAUGGGGAAGGCAAAUGAUCUCUCAGCCCUCUUCACUUCCCAUUUGUUUAAUGCUGAACCAUCAAGCAAACUUCCUCUAGGGAAUAAUUCAGCUGGUACCAGGAGACUGCACAUAAUUAUUUGGGCCACUGGAAAAUUCUAAUGCCCAUGAAAAAAUAGCUUUUGGUUUAUAGAUCAGUCUUUUGUGAAUUUGGGCAGGAAAAGUCAGCCCUGGAAAGUGGUUUUAUUUUGACCAUAACUAAAUAUGCAAAAAAUAGUAGGAUAAAUAAUGAGAUUAUUAAUAAAUCUCACAAAACUGUAAUUCUAAGGUUUAGCUUUAGUUUGGUUGGUUCAUCAACAGCUCAACAAUUUUGGAGGUCCAAAUCUGUUCUGGUAAGAGCUGGGGAUAAAAUGGUGGAUGAUAUAGACACAGCCUUGCUUGCCCAAAGUCAAGUGGAAAAGUAACAUAACAUAAGAGUGAAUAACAUAAUUAUGCAUUAUUCAUAGAUUCCAUUAUUAUACUCAUUCACAGAUUCCAGAUUUACAAUUUACCUACUCUCUAAAAUGUAUUUGUAAUCUCAAAAAUCAAUGCUCUUGGCCGGGUGCAGUGGCUCACGCCUGUAAUCCCAGCACUUUGGGAGGCCGAGGUGGGUGGAUCACCUGAAGUCAGGAGUUCAAGACCAGCCUAACCAACAUGGUGAAACCCACUCUCUACUAAAAGUACAAAAAUUAGCUGGGCAUGGUGGCGGGCAACUGUAAUCCCAGCUACUCGGGAGGCUGAGGCAGGAGAAUCACUUGAACCCGGGAGGUGGAGGCUGCAGUGAGCCGAGAUCGCACCACUGCACUCCAGCCAGGGUGACAGAGCAAGAUCCUGUC
rnacentral:lncRNA from 10 species